rnacentral:RNase_P_RNA from 1 species
UGGGUCGGUGAGACGGUCGCGUCGCGCAUCGCUUGCGAUGUCGCGCCGAGGAACGUCCGGGCUCCGCAGGGGAGAACGGUGGCUAACGGCCACCCGGGGCAACCCGCGAGAAAGUGCAACAGAGAGUAGACCGCCAGUCGGGAGUAUUUCCGGUCGGUAAGGCUGAAAGGGUGGUGUAAGAGACCACCGGCGUCCGUGGCGACACGGGCGGCCAGGUAAACCUCGUUCGGAGCAAGGCCAGACAGAGGAUGAUGACGCGCCCCGCCGAGUCCUCGGGUAGGCCGCUAGAGGGUGUCGGCAACGGCAUCCCGAGAGAGAUGACCGUCGCCCGGGAAACCGGGAGACAGAACCCGGCGUAUGAUCCGGCCCAUUCC